CUCCCAAGGCUAAAUACUAACUAGUGACCGAUAGCGAACAAGUACCGUGAGGGAAAGGUGAAAAGAACCCCGGAAGGGUAGUGAAAUAGUUCUUGAAACCGUGUGCUUACAAGAAGUUCGAGGCCGUUAAUGGCUGAGAGCGUGCUUUUUGUAGAAUGAACCGGAGCGUUACGAUUGCGUGCAAGGUUAAGGUGCAAAGACUGGAGCCGUAGCGAAAGCGAGUCUUAAUAGGGCGAAUCAGUACGUAGUUGUAGACCCGAAACCGAGUGACCUAUCCUAUCCACCGAAUGAGUAAGGUUUCCCCCGGAAGGCUCGUCCGCGGGGGGUUAGUCGGGACCUAAGGCUAGGCUGAAAAGCGUAGUCGAUGGACAACAGGUUGAUAUUCCUGUACCGAUAUUUAAUUGCCGAAGGAAGGACGCAGAAGGAUAACACAGGCCACUAUUGGAUGUGGUUUUAAACAGUUAGUCUUCAUAAGAGUCAAAUGCUUUUAUGUUUAAGGAUAAGCUGUGAAUGUACCAAGUUUACUUGGAAAUUGUGUGAUUUCACGCUGCUGAAAAAAGUUUCGUAGGAAGAAAAUAUUGCCCGUACCGCAAACCGACACAGGUACUCAAGUGGAGAACACUAAGGUGAGCGAGUGAACUAUUGUUAAGGAACUCUGCAAAAUGAGUCCGUAACUUCGGAAGAAGGACUGCUGGUUUUAUACCAGCCGCAGCAAAUAGGCCCAAACAACUGUUUAUCAAAAACACAGGUUUCUGCAAAAUCGUAAGAUGAAGUAUAGGGGCUGACGCCUGCCCAGUGCUGGAAGGUUAAAAGGAGGACUUAGCUUCGGCGAAGGUCUUAAUUGAAGCCCCAGUGAACGG
rnacentral:rRNA from 1 species